UAUCUGGUGGUGUAGUGGUAGCAUGCGUCUGUAGUAUGGGUGAGACGCGGGUUCGAUCCACGUCUGGGGUCGUCUUAU